AGAGGGUUCGAGUCCAUGAUGACAGAUGAAACACAUGAUGGCAGGAACAGCUGACAUCUUGAUCUACAACCACAAAGCAGAAAUUGACAAUGGAAAUGCUCUUCAGACUGUCACAGGUGAUGAAGGGGGAGCAGGAGAGGGCAUCACCCUUGAACACCACCUCAUGGCAGGCAUGAACUCAGCAUUGGCCACCAAGCCAGACACCAAGCUAGGAUGACAAAGAAUUGCCAUCUGCUCUGCUCCUGAUAUAAGAACACCACCACCCAAAAGGUGUCUCCGUGUCUUGCCAGAGGGGGAGGUUGUUUUGUUUUGUUUUGUUAUUUGCUUGUUUGUCUUAUGCAGAGUUCUUUAUUUCCAA